rnacentral:rRNA from 1 species
UUGAUCCUGGCUCAGAACGAACGCUGGCGGCAUGCCUAACACAUGCAAGUCGAACGAGACCUUCGGGUCUAGUGGCGCACGGGUGCGUAACGCGUGGGAAUCUGCCCUUGGGUUCGGAAUAACAGUUGGAAACGACUGCUAAUACCGGAUGAUGACGUAAGUCCAAAGAUUUAUCGCCCAGGGAUGAGCCCGCGUAGGAUUAGCUAGUUGGUGAGGUAAAGGCUCACCAAGGCGACGAUCCUUAGCUGGUCUGAGAGGAUGAUCAGCCACACUGGGACUGAGACACGGCCCAGACUCCUACGGGAGGCAGCAGUGGGGAAUAUUGGACAAUGGGGGCAACCCUGAUCCAGCAAUGCCGCGUGAGUGAAGAAGGCCUUCGGGUUGUAAAGCUCUUUUGUCAGGGAAGAAACGGUUGCAGCUAAUAUCUGUGACUAAUGACGGUACCUGAAGAAUAAGCACCGGCUAACUACGUGCCAGCAGCCGCGGUAAUACGUAGGGUGCAAGCGUUAAUCGGAAUUACUGGGCGUAAAGCGUGCGCAGGCGGUUGUGCAAGACCGAUGUGAAAUCCCCGAGCUUAACUUGGGAAUUGCAUUGGUGACUGCACGGCUAGAGUACGGUAGAGGGGGAUGGAAUUCCGCGUGUAGCAGUGAAAUGCGUAGAUAUGCGGAGGAACACCGAUGGCGAAGGCAGAUCUCUGGGCCGUAACUGACGCUGAGGAGCGAAAGGGUGGGGAGCAAACAGGCUUAGAUACCCUGGUAGUCCACCCCGUAAACGUUGGGCACUAGGUGUGGGGGACAUUCCACGUUCUCCGUGCCGAAGCUAACGCAUUAAGUGCCCCGCCUGGGGAGUACGGCCGCAAGGCUAAAACUCAAAGGAAUUGACGGGGGCCCGCACAAGCGGCGGAGCAUGCGGAUUAAUUCGAUGCAACGCGAAGAACCUUACCAAGGCUUGACAUGUACGGAAUUCGCCAGAGAUGGCUUAGUGCUCGAAAGAGAACCGUAACACAGGUGCUGCAUGGCCGUCGUCAGCUCGUGUCGUGAGAUGUUGGGUUAAGUCCCGCAACGAGCGCAACCCUUGUCAUUAGUUGCUACAUUCAGUUGGGCACUCUAAUGAGACUGCCGGUGACAAACCGGAGGAAGGUGGGGAUGACGUCAAGUCCUCAUGGCCCUUAUAGGUGGGGCUACACACGUCAUACAAUGGCUGGUACAAAGGGUUGCCAACCCGCGAGGGGGAGCUAAUCCCAUAAAACCAGUCGUAGUCCGGAUCGCAGUCUGCAACUCGACUGCGUGAAGUCGGAAUCGCUAGUAAUCGUAGAUCAGAAUGCUACGGUGAAUACGUUCCCGGGCCUUGUACACACCGCCCGUCACACCAUGGGAGUGGGUUGCAAAAGAAGUAGGUAGCUUAACCUUCGGGAGGGCGCUUACCACUUUGUGAUUCAUGACUGGGGUGAAGUCGAAACAAGGUAGCCGUAGGGG